AAUUUCUUCAGCGACAAUCCAGAUCCGAUUGAGUUUAUCGAGGAGACGAGCGAUAACGAGGAGGAGGAGUCUAUGGCUUCACGCAGGCGACGCAAGAAGAAUUAUGGAAACAAUUUCUACGAUGUUAUUUGAUAAAAUGUGGACUCAGACCAGAAAGGCCCCUGAAGCCGAGGGUAAACAUCGAUGUGACCAACUAUCGAACCCCCAGCGGCAAGUUUUACUGCCCGAUGUGUGACACAACUUUGAACACAGAGAUACAGUUUGCUCAACAUACCCAGAGCAAGCAACAUAGAUCGAAACAAUUGGACAAAAAGUAUCGAGAUUUAAACAAGUCUUGAACAAUAUUGUGUUGUUCUCAUUUUAAUUUCAUAUUGUUUUUAAUUGAAUUUGUGAAUGAAUAAUUUCCUAUCAAUGUACUACUUUGUUUUGCUUCUUUUCCAUAUUGUUUUGUUAAGGUCCUGCUUAAGGUAUGUGAAUCCGUCAUUUUUCAUUGUAAAUAUUACAUGGAUGAAUCCAUAAAUAAAAACGGAUUAUAGAUAAAUAA